rnacentral:rRNA from 1 species
UACGUAGGGGGCUAGCGUUGUCCGGAAUUACUGGGCGUAAAGGGCUCGUAGGUGGCCAACUAAGUCAGACGUGAAAUCCCUCGGCUUAACCGGGGAACUGCGUCUGAUACUGGAUGGCUUGAGUUUGGGAGAGGGAUGCGGAAUUCCAGGUGUAGCGGUGAAAUGCGUAGAUAUCUGGAGGAACACCGGUGGCGAAGGCGGCAUCCUGGACCAACACUGACACUGAGGAGCGAAAGCUAGGGGAGCAAACGGG